UCCAGCUCGUUCGCCUGAGCAAAGACAGUGGCUUCUGAUAGCAGCAGCUUCUCCUGGAGAUCUUGAUAGCGUUGUUUGCAUUGUGACAGCUGGGAGCGCAGGUGCUGGGUGGACCCUGGUGGGCUAAACGCUGAUUGGGCCCAGUGUCACAAGGCUGGGACUGGUUCUCCAACUGUGAAAGGGGCCAAGACAAGGAUCAGGACAGUCCGAGGCCACCCCCAUGCAGUGAUGACCACGGCCCGUUGUGAACCCCGUGGACUUUACUCAAGUCUGUCACAGCACUUCUCAUGCCAUUUGGCAGUGACUUGCUUUCCAGAUGGAGCUCCUGGAGUGCUGGGAUAAUGUUUUCUUCAUAUCUGUAUCCACAGCACACAGCACAGCGCCAAUCAAGUCUACAGAGGAGCUCUUAGGAAACGUUUUCUCAGUGGUCAAAAAGAGAAGGGGUGGAACCCUCCACUCAUCUCCCCUCACAUUCUGUGCCAUCGAUUCUCUCAGAAUCCCCUGUAUUCCCCAUUUUACUGAAUCUUCAGCAUGGCUCCUCCCCUAAACAGGAUCCCAAUAACCCAUCUGAGGUCCAGGAACAGACACCUGUGAUGAGCUGUGACCAAAAAAAAAAAAAAAAAUGGCAUUGAUAAGGAAGGGAUGUCAUUACAUACUACUUGUCUGGGCUGCCUCAUAACCUGAUGCAUCCCUAUGUUACAGCAGUUACCCCCUCCUAUUAAAAUUACCUGUUUAUGUGCCAUCUUUCCUUACCAUAUUAAGUAUCUCAAGGGCAGCCAUUGGUUUUAUUGCCCCAUGCCAAUGCCUAGUGUGUUAUCUGAAAAAUUAAGUACUCAAGAAAUAUUUAUAUUGUAAAAGGCUUUCUAAAGGCUGAAUGUAGGCUGAAUAUUAUUACUGUUGUUUGUGGUACAAAGAGACCUUUCUCUUGGUACCUCUUGAUUCACAUGGGAGAACGUUUUAAAGUAAACACUGUCAUCUCGAGCCCUUCUCCAGUGGUUUUUCAUUCCAUCUAAGCCUACAUUGACUUGGUGGGCAUCCACUGUGAAGGUAGCCCCAAGGUCAAGGCUCUGGGGUCUGGGGCAAGGCCUCACAGUCACAUUCCCCUCCUCUUGGUGUUGGUGCUUCCCAGGAGAACCAACCAGUUCUGUGUUUAUUCUGUCGAUGGUGCUGGUCAGAUGCACAAGGAGCUCUGGAGUAAGUUUACUAUUCCCUUCUUUGCUACUCAGCACAAGUUGUUCUUGAGGAGGUUGAUGAUAUUGUGGGCAUUCUUCAGUUUUCCCUGGAGCUUUCUGAACUCAGCCUGAAGACUACUCUCACUCAGACCCUCUUUGGCAACCACAGUCUCAACCACCACCUUGCCCUUCUCCUUGUCUUCCUCAAUCUCCCAUCCCUCAGACAUUUCUGCUCUUUCAGCUCUGCAUUCUCAAGGCAAAGAUGGGUUCUGGGUCUCCACAGUUGCCAGACUUUUCUCCAAAGCCACCUUGAGGAACUAAAAGAAAAUCAUGCUUUGAAGAAGUUAGGCCAUUAAAGAGGGCCCAAGAGAAACAUGAGAUUGCAAAGGUAGUUUUUGAUGAGAACAAAAACAAACAAAAAAAGCAGAUCUAAAAUGAACUCCCUACCCAGAACCUCCUUAGUCAGGCAAUAAGAGCAAUAAGAUCUCAAGACUAAGUUUUAUGUGACAAGAGUGAAACCCCAUCUCAAAAAAAGAAAAAAAAAAUUUUUUUUUUUUUUCAGAAUGAGGUCUCACUGCAUUGCCCAGGCUGGUCUCAAACUUCUGGACUCAAGUGGUCCCCCUGCCUUGGCCUCUCAAAGUGCUGGGAUUACAUGUGUAAGCCACCAUGCCUGGCCAAAGACUUACUUUUACAGGAGGAGUAUAAAACAUCUCAUUAGUAAUUUUCAUAAUUGAUUAUGUGUCGAAAUAAUAUUUUUGAUAUUUUGUGUCAAGUAACACUACUAAAAUUAAGCUCACCUAUAUCCUUCUACAUUUUCACUGUGGCUACUAGAAAAUUUUAAAUUACAU
rnacentral:lncRNA from 1 species